UAGCCAGCAAGAAUGACGCUGCAACAG
rnacentral:misc_RNA from 1 species